ACACGACUCUCGGCAACGGAUAUCUCGGCUCUCCCAUCGAUGAAGAACGCAGCGAAAUGCGAUACCUGGUGUGAACUGCAGAAUCCCGUGAAUCAUCGAGUCUUUGAACGCAAGUUGCGCCCGAGACCAUUCGGUCGAGGGCACGCCUGCCUGGGCGUCACGCGU
rnacentral:rRNA from 1 species